rnacentral:rRNA from 1 species
GACGAACGCUGGCGGCGUGCCUAAUACAUGCAAGUAGAACGCUGAAGGAGGAGCUUGCUUCUCCGGAUGAGUUGCGCACGGGUGAGUAACGCGUAGGUAACCUGCCUGGUAGCGGGGGAUAACUAUUGGAAACGAUAGCUAAUACCGCAUAACAGUAGAUAUUGCAUGAUAUCUGCUUGAAAGGUGCAAUUGCAUCACUACCAGAUGGACCUGCGUUGUAUUAGCUAGUUGGUGGGGUAACGGCUCACCAAGGCGACGAUACAUAGCCGACCUGGGAGGGUGGACCGGCAACAUGGGACCUGGACACCGCCCCAGCCUCUAAGGGGGGGAGCAGGAGGGGAACUUCGGCAAUUGACGGAAGGCCGAACGGGCAACGGCGGGGGGGGGGAGGAGGUUUUCGGAUCGGAAAGAUCUGUUGUAAGGGAAGAACGAGUGUGGGAGUGGAAAGUUCACACUGUGACGGUAUCUUACCAGAAAGGGACGGCUAACUACGUG